GUUAUUUCUGCUUCUCUCUCUCUCUCUCUUUUGGGUUUUAUUCACAGGAAUUGCUGGUCAUGUCUUAUACUAUAUUUUGGGUGGUUUUUUUUCUUCACUCUCACUCCCUUGCAGGUACAUUCAUUAAAACUUGCCCUUGAAGGCGUGGAAAAGGAAAGGGAUUUCUACUUUGGGAAGUUGAGAGAGAUCGAGCUACUCUGCCAAGAACACGGGCAGGAAAAUGAUGACCUCGUGCAGAGACUAAUGGACAUCCUGUAUGCUUCAGAAGAACACGAGGGCCACACAGAAGAGCCGGAAGCAGAGGAGCAAGCCCACGAACAGCAGCCCCCGCAGCAGGAAGAGUACUGACCCACCCCGGCUGCUCUUGACACUUCCAUUGUGUGUGGGAACGUUUCUUCUGGAGAAUUGGAACAUGUGUGGCCCCAAGCUCAACAGAAACCAGUUGUUCCCAAUCUGCCGUUACCAUCAACGCACUG
rnacentral:lncRNA from 1 species